rnacentral:rRNA from 1 species
GAUGAACGCUGGCGGCGUGCCUAAUACAUGCAAGUCGAGCGAAGCGGGGACGGGUGAGUAACACGUGGGUAACCUCCUAUAAGACUGGGAUAACUUCGGGAAACCGGAGCUAAACCGGAUAUUUAUAAUUGGACCCGCGUUGCAUUAGCUAUUUGGUAAGGUAACGGCUUACAAAGGCACGGAUCCAUACCGGACCUGAGAGGGUGAUCGGCCACACGGGACCUGAGACACGGUCCAGACUCCUACGGGGGGCAGCAGUAGGGAAUCUUCCGCAAUGGGCGAAAGCCUGACGGAGCAACGCCGCGUGAGUGAUGAAGGUCUUCGGAUCGUAAAACUCUGUUAUUAGGGAAGCGGUACCUAAUCAGAAAGCCACGGCUAACUACGUGCCAGCAGCCGCGGUAAUAC